AACGAACGCUGGCGGCAUGCCUAACACAUGCAAGUCGAACGAGACCUUCGGGUCUAGUGGCGCACGGGUGCGUAACGCGUGGGAACCUGCCCUUAGGUUCGGAAUAACUCCCCGAAAGGGGUGCUAAUACCGGGUAAUGUCUUCGGACCAAAGAUUUAUCGCCUUUGGAUGGGCCCGCGUUGGAUUAGCUAGUUGGUAGGGUAAAAGCCUACCAAGGCGACGAUCCAUAGCUGGUCUGAGAGGAUGAUCAGCCACACUGGGACUGAGACACGGCCCAGACUCCUACGGGAGGCAGCAGUGGGGAAUAUUGGACAAUGGGCGAAAGACUGAUCCAGCAAUGCCGCGUGAGUGAUGAAGGCCUUAGGGUUGUAAAGCUCUUUUAACCGGGAUGAUAAUGACAGUACCGGGAGAAUAAGCUCCGGCUAACUCCGUG
rnacentral:rRNA from 1 species